GUGGGGAAUAUUGGACAAUGGGCGAAAGCCUGAUCCAGCCAUGCCGCGUGUGUGAAGAAGGUCUUCGGAUUGUAAAGCACUUUAAGUUGGGAGGAAGGGCAGUAAGUUAAUACCUUGCUGUUUUGACGUUACCGACAGAAUAAGCACCGGCUAACUUCGUGCCAGCAGCCGCGGUAAUACGAAGGGUGCAAGCGUUAAUCGGAAUUACUGGGCGUAAAGCGCGCGUAGGUGGUUUUGUAAGUUGGAGGUGAAAUCCCCGGGCUCAACCUGGGAACUGCCUCCAAAACUGCAUGACUAGAGUACGGUAGAGGGUAGUGGAAUUUCCUGUGUAGCGGUGAAAUGCGUAGAUAUAGGAAGGAACACCAGUGGCGAAGGCGACUACCUGGACUGAUACUGACACUGAGGUGCGAACGCGUGGGGAGCAAACAGGAUUAGAUACCCUUGUAGUCC
rnacentral:rRNA from 1 species